GGCCCGAUGGUCAAGUGGUUAAGACACUGCCCUUUCACGGCGGUAACAUGGGUUCAAAUCCCGUUCGGGUCA
rfam:Lactobacillus selangorensis strain DSM 13344 Scaffold1, whole genome shotgun sequence.